rnacentral:rRNA from 1 species
UACGGAGGGUGCGAGCGUUAUCCGGAUUUAUUGGGUUUAAAGGGUGCGUAGGCGGCUUUUUAAGUCAGCGGUGAAAUUUUGUAGCUUAACUGUAACAGUGCCGUUGAUACUGGGGAGGCUAGGAUUGGUUGCUGUGGGUGGAAUGUGUGGUGUAGCGGUGAAAUGCUUAGAUAUCACGAGGAACUCCGAUUGCGCAGGCAGCUUACUAAACCAUAACUGACGCUCAGGCACGAAGGCGUGGGGAUCAAACAGGAUUAGAUACCCCGGUAGUCCCU